GAUGAACGCUAGCUACAGGCUUAACACAUGCAAGUCGAGGGGCAGCACAGUGUAGCAAUACACGGGUGGCGACCGGCGCACGGGUGCGUAACGCGUAUCCAACCUUCCCGUUACUCUUGGAUAGCCUUCCGAAAGGGAGAUUAAUACAAGAUGGUAUUCAAAUUCCGCAUGUUAUUUGAAUUAAAGAUUUAUCGGUAACGGAUGGGGAUGCGUGACAUUAGAUAGUAGGCGGGGUAACGGCCCACCUAGUCUACGAUGUCUAGGGGUUCUGAGAGGAAGGUCCCCCACACUGGAACUGAGACACGGUCCAGACUCCUACGGGAGGCAGCAGUGAGGAAUAUUGGUCAAUGGUCGGAAGACUGAACCAGCCAAGUAGCGUGAAGGAUGAAGGUUCUAUGGAUUGUAAACUUCUUUUAUACGGGAAUAAAACACCUUACGUGUAGGGUCUUGUAUGUACCGUAUGAAUAAGCAUCGGCUAACUCCGUG
rnacentral:rRNA from 1 species